rnacentral:tRNA from 1 species
CCGGACCGAGGGAGACGGCAACCCGCCUACUUCUUCGAAGAGGAGACACCCCGUUCGACUCGGGGGGUCCGGAC